GACGAACGCUGGCGGCGUGCUUAACACAUGCAAGUCGAACGGAAAGGCCCUGCUUUUGUGGGGUGCUCGAGUGGCGAACGGGUGCGUAACACGUGAGUAACCUGCCCUUGACUUUGGGAUAACUUCAGGAAACUGGGGCUAAUACCGUAUCGGAGCUCCUGCUGCAUGGUAGGGGUUGGAAAGUUUCGGCGGUUGGGGAUGGACUCGCGGCUUAUCAGCUUGUUGGUGGGGUAGUGGCUUACCAAGGCUUUGACGGGUAGCCGGCCUGAGAGGGUGACCGGCCACAUGGGGACUGAGAGACGGACCAGAGUCCUACGGGAGGCAGCAGUGGGGAAUAUUGCACAAUGGGCGGAAGCCUGAUGCAGCAACGCCGCGUGCGGGAUGACGGCCUUCGGGUUGUAAACCGCUUUCGCCUGUGACGAAGCGUGAGUGACGGUAAUGGGUAAAGAAGCACCGGCUAACUACGUG
rnacentral:rRNA from 1 species